rnacentral:misc_RNA from 1 species
AAGAAAUUCGGGAUGAUUCAUGGCUUGUCAUCUCUUGCUAAUAUCCUAGCAUUUGGUAGUCUUGCAAUGCACUCCUGGUAUUUGGCAGGUAAAAUUAAUCUGUAACUCAAAAAUUGUCCUUCCCUAUGACUGUAGUUUUACGUCCAUGAAGCAAUUGCCUCGGUGCUCUUUCUCUGAUAGACUGACAUAUUAUUGUUGUAGUACAAUACAAUUGCCUGUUUGGAUGGUGAUAAAGAAAAAGUGGGAAAUAAAAGUGUUGUAUUGAUAUCACUGUUUAUGUUUAGUGUCA